rfam:Hordeum vulgare subsp. vulgare, WGS project CAJW01000000 data, contig: morex_contig_45647
UACAUACUUUCUUCGUCUUAAAAUUCUUGUCUUAAAUUUAUCUAGAAAUAGAUGUAUCUAAAUAUUAAAAUAUAACUAGAUGCAUUUAUAUCUAGAUAAAUUUAAGACUAGAAUUUUAGGACGGAAGGAGUAUGUA